GUGGGGAAUAUUGGACAAUGGGCGCAAGCCUGAUCCAGCCAUGCCGCGUGAGUGAUGAAGGCCUUAGGGUUGUAAAGCUCUUUCGUCAGGGAAGAUAAUGACGGUACCUGAAGAAGAAGCCCCGGCUAACUUCGUGCCAGCAGCCGCGGUAAUACGAAGGGGGCUAGCGUUGCUCGGAAUCACUGGGCGUAAAGCGCACGUAGGCGACUUUCUAAGUCAGGGGUGAAAUCCUGGAGCUCAACUCCAGAACUGCCUUUGAUACUGGAGAGCUUGAGAUCGGGGGAGGUGAGUGGAACUGCGAGUGUAGAGGUGAAAUUCGUAGAUAUUCGCAAGAACACCAGUGGCGAAGGCGGCUCACUGGCCCGAUACUGACGCUGAGGUGCGAAAGCGUGGGGAGCAAACAGGAUUAGAUACCCUAGUAGUCC
rnacentral:rRNA from 1 species